ensembl:lncRNA
GCUGACACGAGCGACCCUUCUCUCUGCUCUGAAUUCAGCAGCAAUACAUCACUGGCUGCUUUAUUCCUCACAAAUGAGUCGCUUCCUGUGCUUCAUUACUGAGCUGCAUUUCUCUUUUUCGCUGAACAGCAUUAUGGGAUUUGUGAGAACUUCUGCACUGCUGCUUUCAAAUGUGUCCCAAGUAUCUUUAAAUCCGGCCGUCGACAGGAGGAGUGAAAAUAGUUGAAUUGAUAUUUAUUCGAUCAGUAUGUCCGGUAUUUCAGUCUAUAAGAGAGGAGUGUACGCUUCUUUACGGUUUCGUCACACCUCCUCGUCGGUGAUUAUCGUACUGUAACAGCGCCGCACACGGUGCGCUGCUGGGAAAAGAGAACGCCGAACGCCUUCCUCAGUCACCGCCCUCCUUCUCGGCCUCACUAUCGUCCCUCGUUCCGUCUCUCUCCUCCUCCCUCCCUCCCUCCUUCACUCCUCUGUCCGUCUCCGCCCUCCCUCUCCCGUCCAUAAUGUCCUCCUCCUCCUCGUCUUCCUCGUUCCUCUUGUCCUCCUCAGCCACUCUUCCCCUCCCCUCCACACUCUCUCACUCCCUUCCUCCACUGCCCCCCACCGUCUCCUCCUCUCUUCCUUCCACUCCUCUUCUAUCACUCCAUUCUAAAUCAGCCAGCAGAGACAGCAGCACACAAACCAGGAGGAGUCCAGAGAGUGAGAGAGUCCAGAGAGCCACGCUCCCUACAGGCCGAGGGAGAACAGCCAGGAUGGACUACCCAAUCGCUCAGGUGAAGUGUCCCGAGAGCCGAGUCGUCCACACGACGGGGCAGAAGAUCAGACCUGCCGACUCGGACCUGGUGGAGAUUCUGAUCUAACACACAUCUACGGACAGAACGCAGUCUCACCACUGAAGGAGAGACAGACAGGCAGAGCGACUGACAGAAAGAGAGACAGACAGGCAGAGACAGGCGUCUCUCGGUUUAGCCCCGUGCACGCUGUGUGUAUAAAGCUCCUCGUUUAUCACUUUCGGUAAAAGUUGUGUGUAAAUAUUUGCACAAGAGACGGAACUGAAAAUUUCCCAUCAGGUUUAUAAACGUUUCAGAAACGCUGCUUUCCUCCGUAGUCGUGUGCGUAUGUCGAUCAUCGGUAAAGUGUCAAGCGCGUUCCGCACGCAGCUCAUUUGCAUAUAGUGACGCCCACAAAACUCCAUAAAAGGUAAAGUGCACAGAGAGCUGGGAGCAGGAAGUGAGCGAUCAGGGUAAAGACUGAAGAACAGAAGUAAGAGGUUACUUUGACUCACUAUUACAGCUAAAUCUCCAUAAUCUCUCGUCACACACACUCAGGAGCUCCAUUAGGAUGCGAAGGUUUUUUCAGAAUAAUAAUAGUAUAACAUCCAGCCCAGUGAGUGGAUUCAGCACUGAGUUUCUGGACCGAAGGGUCUUUGGGUAAGGGUCUGCGAGCGUGUGGCGCGGCCGUGUCUGGGUCACGCUGACAGACUGAACGGAAGGGUUGCUAAUGACAGGGAAGAGAAGGGAAGUUGAGACGGAGAACAGGUUGAAGAGGUGAGCGAGUUUAACGCAGGAUAUGAAAGCGUGUGAACCUGAAGAGGGUAAAAGUUCAAGUGUGUGAGUCGCGGAGCUUCUCUCUGGUUCAUGAUGCGUCUGUUUCACACACUCCAGCUGUUCUGGAGCUCUUCUACACGUUUACCUGAAAAAGACUGUUGUGUUAUUUUAUUGAGAUGAAGUUCUGGUCCUGUUCUGUAAGACAUGAUGAAAGGUUUGAGGUGAUUAUCAUGAUAUGGAAAUGUAAUGUCUCAUGCUGAAGCUCUGAGAUGGUUCUGUGGUUCCUCCUCUGUUCUCCGGCUAACAAUAAAACAGUGCCUUAAUGCAACAGCACUUAGACACACACACACACACACACACACACACACACACUGUUUUCUUUAUUCAUCUUGCCUACACUCUCACACUCCUCACCUCCAUCUGUGUGUUACUGCCACCUUCUGGCCACAUUAUAACAACAACAACAACAACAACAAUAAUAAUAAUAAUAAUAAUAAGCUUCAUUAAUAAAAAUAAAUGAACAUAACAAAUGAACAUAUUUUGGGGAUUUAUAUAUUUUUAAUAUAAUAAGUGACAUUUAUUUAACUGUAUAUAUACAUACUUUAUUUACCAUAAAACAUCUUAAUAUAAAACAAAUUUGAUCUAAAUGAGUAAAAUGUUACAUUGUAAAUGUUUAAUUGGUUUAAUUACAUUUGUACAUUUAGAUUAGAGUGGUGUAUAUUCGUGUUUUAUUCGAUUACUCGGUUUUAUUACUUUAUUUAAAUUAACAUUUCAUUGUGGCCAGUUUAUUAUUUUUUAUUAUUAUGUAUGAACAUUUAGUUUUGUGAUCAAAAUAUCUGAAAAUUCUACAUGUAAUUAAGAUGUAGGUUUAAAGUUUUGGGUCAUUUUCAGCGUAAUAGAACGCGAUUUAUAAUAAACAAACGCAACUUUAAAAAGUAUAAUGUACAAGCUACAAGAUUAUCUCUUUAUUCUCCGUUCGUUCCGUUUGCGUUCUGCCCAACACUAGUUAACGUGUACGCGUAGUUAACGUGUAUUUAAUGUGUCGCUAAUGUCUUCCCCUGCGUGGAGAGGUGCAUUAUGGGACGUCGUUAUCAUCACACACUGAUUAUGAACAGAGCUGAGCGGGCCGUUAGAAUAAGGGCGGUGAAGUCGUUAUUCCCACACGUUCUCUGAAUCAGAGGCGUCGAGGGCCAGAUGGUGGAGUGAAACAGGACAUAAAAGGGCGAGCACUGCCUCACGCGGUGGGCGUGUCCACUCGACAUCCCCCAGGGAACGGGGCAUUUUCACUUGGACCUCCAUUUUCCCCAGGAGAGACUGAACUUAUUAUUCGACGUUCGGCUCGUCCCAAACCACGCGGCUUCAGACGGUCCUAAUGAUGCUUUGACCUGCAUUAUCCUAAAGCAGAGCGUGUGUACAAUCAUACAAGUGUGUGUGUGUGAACCUUAGUGUGUGAAGUCCAUAAAAACACCUUGCAUAAGAUUUAUUUAAAAACAAAUCUUAAAAGUUGCGAGUGCAUAAGUGUUCACCCCCUAAACUAGCGCUGGUCCAGUUUUCAUCAGAAGUCGAGCAUAAUUAGUCGAGCGGAGUCGACCUGUGUGUAAUUAAAGUGUCACGUGAUCUCACCUGCUGCUGGAGGAACCCAGAGUUUGUUCCAGAACAUCAUGAAGAUCAAGGAGAGAUCCAAACAAAGUUUUGGACAAGUCCAGGACAGGAUUGUUUUGGUUAUAAAAAGAAAUAUUCCAAACUUUGAAUAUCCUGCAGGGCGACAUUAAACCCGUUACUAAAAAAUGGAGAGAAUACGACAACUGCAACGAGAGGCGAGUAUAACUCUACAGAGGAGAAACGGCUCAGAAACACUGAGGCCUGGUGGAGGUAGCAUCAUGUUCCGCGUUACCCUUACAUAAAAUGUACAUAUAUAUAUUUUUCAUGCUUUAAAAAGUUACAGAGCAUGAUCUCUAACAGUUUACCCACGCUAGAUAAAUAUGCAAAUAUAGAAACUGCCCCAUGUCCUAACAGUCUUAUACACUCUGUGUUGCGCUGCACAAAAUAUUGGCACCUGCCCAUCAUUGGAAAGGGAGUACCACUGCGCAGAUAAGAUUUGGGUGAUGGUUUAUUUUCGGUACAGCAUGGAAACUUACUGUGUGUGUGUGUGUGUGUGUGUGUGUGUGUGUGUGUGCGCUGUAGGUAUGUGUGGACCAGCUACAGCAGAGUUGUUUAGAUUUUAAACAGCGUGUACUCUUUUAUAGAUGGAAUUAAUCACCCGUUAUUGCGCAGUAUUGAUCUGUGAAUUUGUGAAUAUGUGAAGUGUCCUGCAGUGCGUCUGGCUUUACUGAACAUCUGCCAUAAAUUAGACAUUUCCAAAGCAGCACCUGCCAUUUACACACUCCCUAUCCUGACUAACACACACACACACACACAGUUUUUCGCUCUCUCGCUCUCCAUUGUACACCUGCCUCCCACUUCCCCUGCAGGCCCGAGGUCACUCCCUCUUUCACGCACAUUAGCCUCAGAUCAAUGCGCCCUUUUGUCUGCGCGAGUUUCCCACGUUCUGCUCGCGCGCCUGGCACUCGCGCAGCUCAAAUCAAACACAGGCAGCUGAACUCGGGUUUAAUUCCCAACCGGCUCGAUCCUGACGGGACAUCUGGCCCACUCGCAUCUGCUCGCUGUUUCAUUGUGGAAGAAUGAAGAAGGAAAGUUGACCACAGAGCGACUAAAGCCGUGGUCUCCAGCAGUCCUUCUGAUUAGAACGGCUGUGUCCCAAAUCAGAACGAUGUGCUGCAUGCUACAUGCUACAUGGUUAUCCUCCUGCUGCACUUAAUACUGAGUGUGAAUCAGUGUUCAGAUUGUCACGGUAUAUCGCUAUACCAAUAUAUCAUCCAAUUCCUACAUAUUCUCAAAAUAUGAAAAUUAGUUCUUCACACUGAACAGACUGUAGUCUCUGGUGACUGUGCAGUAACAUGGUCUCCAUUUUCUUCCCACUUGCUAGCUAGCUAAUCCUCCCUGCUGCUUUCCUCCCCUUACACAGCCUUGCUCCGGAUACAUGACCAAACAGGCCUUCUGACUGGCUAGAGUCGUUCUGAUUGACAGGAGAGAGGACGGUCAUCCCGCCCACCUAGACAUCAGGAUUUCACACCAAUUUACCAAUUUUGUUUUUGUUUUCACUUUGGGACAGCUUCAGAAGCCACGCCCAUUUCCUCAGAACAGUGAUCGGACUGAAGAGUGUUCACACUUCAGAAUCGACUCUUCACUACUGAGUGAAUGCAGAGAUUUUACACAAUAAUGAAUAUAAACCUGAGAUUAUUCACUUUCAUUUAAACUUCUCAUAUUCAUACGUGACGACGAGACACGAUGAUUUAUAGAGUGUCGUUUAGGGACAGGUUUUGGUUUCAGCAGGAUCGUGUAGCGGAUAAAGGAACAGAGAAUGUAGGGUGUGUGUGUGUGUGUGUGUGUGUGUGUGUGUGUGUGUGUGUGUGUGUGUGUGUGUGUAUCGGAUCGUGCACACUCUCAUUCAUUCCGGGGGAAAGUCGUCACAAAGCAGACGAGUGAAUAUGGAGUUUCUCUCAAGGGUGACGGAGGGUGUGUGUGUGGGGGGGGGGGUUACACACUCAUGGGGUGGACAUCUGUCACAUGUUUUUAAUUGUGUGUGUGUUUGUGUGUGUGUGUGUGUGUGUGUGAGAAAGAGAGAGAGAAAUGAUCUUGUUGACACUUGUUGCACGUUGAUUUCAGUUCUGAAUCUCCGAAUGUGAAAAAGAGAAAGAAAUAUAAAGAGGACAAAGGAAAAGUAGGGAGUGAGAAAUAAAGCAGAAAAAGGGGAGAAAGGAGGAAGAAAAUGAAAUGAGUGAGGAAGACAUGUAUGGAAGAAAAGAGAGGAAGAAGGGAGAGAGACCAAUAAAUGUUAGAGAGAGAGAGAGAGAGAGAGAGAGAGAGAGAGGGAGAGAGAGAGGACUGUGAAGGAAGAAUGAGAUAAAAUGUGGGAUAAACUUUGAGAGAAACAGAAGACUGAAAUUAAAAGAUUUUUUAAGUGAGAGAGUGAGAGUAAAAUAAACAAAGUUGGAGAGAAAGAGUAAGGAGUAAUGACAGAGAGAGGAGACAGAGGGUGUAGAGAAAAUAUUACAGAGAGACUGUGGAAAAGAGAGAGAGGGAGAGAGAGAGGGAGAGAGAGAGGGAGAGAGAGGGAGAGAGAGAGGGAGGGAGAGAGGGAGGGAGAGAGAGAGUCUGAGAGAGAGGGAGUGAGAGAGAGAUGGAGAGAGGGAGAGAGAGGGGGAGAGAGA